rnacentral:rRNA from 1 species
CAUUACAAGAAGCCGAAAGGCUACUUCAAACCAUCGCGAACUCGUCCAAGUUGCUUCGGCGGCGCGGCACCCCUUAACGGGGGCGCCGCAGCCCUGCCUCUCCGGAGGUUCGGGGCGCCCGCCGGAGGUACGAAACUCUGUAUUAUAGUGGCAUCUCUGAGUAUAAAACAAAUAAGUUAAAACUUUCAACAACGGAUCUCUUGGUUCUGGCAUCGAUGAAGAACGCAGCGAAAUGCGAUAAGUAAUGUGAAUUGCAGAAUUCAGUGAAUCAUCGAAUCUUUGAACGCACAUUGCGCCCGGUAGUACUCUACCGGGCAUGCCUGUUCGAGCGUCAUUUCAACCCUCAAGCCCUGCUUGGUGUUGGGGCCCUACGGCUGCCGUAGGCCCUGAAAGGAAGUGGCGGGCUCGCUACAACUCCGAGCGUAGUAAUUCAUUAUCUCGCUAGGGAGGUUGCGGCGUGCUCCUGCCGUUAAAGACCCAUCUUUAACCAAGGUUGAC